rnacentral:rRNA from 1 species
GACGAACGCUGGCGGCGUGCUUAACACAUGCAAGUCGAACGGAAAGGCCCUGCUUUUGUGGGGUGCUCGAGUGGCGAACGGGUGAGUAACACGUGAGUAACCUGCCCUUGACUUUGGGAUAACUUCAGGAAACUGGGGCUAAUACCGGAUAGGAGCUCCUGCUGCAUGGUGGGGGUUGGAAAGUUUCGGCGGUUGGGGAUGGACUCGCGGCUUAUCAGCUUGUUGGUGGGGUAGUGGCUUACCAAGGCUUUGACGGGUAGCCGGCCUGAGAGGGUGACCGGCCACAUUGGGACUGAGGUACGGCCCAGACUCCUAUGGGAGGCAGCAGUGGGGAAUAUUGCACAAUGGGCGGAAGCCUGAUGCAGCAACGCCGCGUGCGGGAUGACGGCCUUCGGGUUGUAAACCGCUUUCGCCUGUGACGAAGCGUGAGUGACGGUAAUGGGUAAAGAAGCACCGGCUAACUACGUGCCAGCAGCCGCGGUGAUACGUAGGGUGCGAGCGUUGUCCGGAUUUAUUGGGCGUAAAGGGCUCGUAGGUGGUUGAUCGCGUCGGAAGUGUAAUCUUGGGGCUUAACCCUGAGCGUGCUUUCGAUACGGGUUGACUUGAGGAAGGUAGGGGAGAAUGGAAUUCCUGGUGGAGCGGUGGAAUGCGCAGAUAUCAGGAGGAACACCAGUGGCGAAGGCGGUUCUCUGAGCCUUUCCUGACGCUGAGGAGCGAAAGCGUGGGGAGCGAACAGGCUUAGAUACCCUGGUAGUCCACGCUGUAAACGGUGGGUACUAGGUGUGGGGUCCAUUCCACGGGUUCCGUGCCGUAGCUAACGCUUUAAGUACCCCGCCUGGGGAGUACGGCCGCAAGGCUAAAACUCAAAGGAAUUGACGGGGCCCCGCACAAGCGGCGGAGCAUGCGGAUUAAUUCGAUGCAACGCGUAGAACCUUACCUGGGUUUGACAUGGAUCGGGAGUGCUCAGAGAUGGGUGUGCCUCUUUUGGGGUCGGUUCACAGGUGGUGCAUGGCUGUCGUCAGCUCGUGUCGUGAGAUGUUGGGUUAAGUCCCGCAACGAGCGCAACCCUUGUUCACUGUUGCCAGCACGUUAUGGUGGGGACUCAGUGGAGACCGCCGGGGUCAACUCGGAGGAAGGUGGGGAUGACGUCAAGUCAUCAUGCCCCUUAUGUCCAGGGCUUCACGCAUGCUACAAUGGCUGGUACAGAGAGUGGCGAGCCUGUGAGGGUGAGCGAAUCUCGGAAAGCCGGUCUCAGUUCGGAUUGGGGUCUGCAACUCGACCUCAUGAAGUCGGGGUCGCUAGUAAUCGCAGAUCAGCAACGCUGCGGUGAAUACGUUCCCGGG